AUGGCUUCUUCUAUAGUCAAACAAAUAAUUGAAGACACUUCACUGCCGGAAUCAGUGCCGGAAUCAGUGGCUGAAUAUGAAAAGUUACCCUACUGGAAAACGGUGGGAGAUAAACUUAAGUAUUUCUUUGCGGUAAGAUUUGCCAAGGGCUCACUACUUGUCCUUGUGAGACAACUGAGGCGUAAAUAUAAUUGCGUCUCAGAGGAAAAGACGUCUCUAAGCCAGUUAAUGGAAGAGGCCGAUCUGGUGGUGAAAACCAUCAUUUCAUUAAACGUAGAGGACAUAAAUAAUGACACGGACGACGAACCCACUUAUGAGAGAAUCGCAGAGGUAAUAUCCAGCGGACAACACAACAUGGCUGCAAUUGAACUUGGUGAUAUUGUCUCACAGCACCUCCAGCAGGACCCCUCCGUUGACUUCCGUUUUGAAAUACAGGGAGAGGUCAACACCUUUAUGAGGCAGAUACGCAACUGGCUCAACCGGCAGCUAAAGCUCCACAAAAAGAGGGGGGACCACGCAAGUGUGGCUGUGAAGCAAAUCAGGGGAGUGGUCAGCCAGCGAUCGCUCACACAGACCUCAGUUGUACAAAGUGGCUGCGUGACACCUGUGUCAGGUUCAGCUUCUAUUGCUCUAGAGGUCGCUGUAAGUGCUGAGGCUGGUGACACUUUGGUGGUUGAACCCAAACCACAUUCCACCCCCAUACAGUCCGUCAAGUCGCCAAUUGUAAAUGAAGCUAGGGACACUUUGGUAGUUGAACCCAAACCACCUUCCACCCCCAUACAGUCCGUCAAAUCGCCAGUUGUAAAGGAAGUUAGAGACACUUUGGUGGUUGAACUCGAACCACCUUCCACCCCCAUACAGUCCGUCAAAUCGCCAAUUGUAAAUGAAGUUAAAGACACUUUGGUGCUUGAACCCGAACCACCUUCCAACCCCAUACAGUCCGUCAAAUCGCCAAUUGUAAAUGAAGUUAGAGACACUUUGGUGGUUGAACUCGAACCACCUUCCACCCCCAUACAGUCUGUGAAGUCGCCAAUUGUAAAUGAAGCUAGUGACACUUUGGUGGUUGAACCCGAACCACCUUCCACCCCCAUACAGUCCGUCAAAUCGCCAAUUGUAAAUGAAGUUAGAGACACUUUGGUGGUUGAACUUGAACCACCUUCCACCCCCAUACAGUCUGUGAAGUCGCCAAUUGUAAAUGAAGCUAGUGACACUUUGGUGGUUGAACCCGAACCACCUUCCACCCCCAUACAGUCCGUCCAGUCAGAGAUUAGAGACAGAGCUAGGGACACUUUGGUGGUUGAAGCCAAACCACUUGCCACCCCCGUUCAGUCUGUAAAGUCACCAAUCCGAGACAAGUCUGGUGACACUUCGGUGGUUGUAGUAGAACCACCUUCCAUCCCCAUUCAGUCCAUCGUGUCACCCAUCAGAGAUGAGGCUGGUGAAGCUGUAGGUGAGACCGCAGCACCAGCAGCCUAUCAGUGGGACUUAAUGAGCUGCAAUAUUAUGGCCAUUGCAGUAUUCCAAAAGAUUAUGAAAAGGCGAAAACAUCUGGACGGUAGUCUGACCUGUAAGGUCAUUGAAAGCAUCAGUGAGUCACUGGCGGCCUUGCUUUGGGAGCAGAUUGGAGGCGCUGACGUUGCUGUCAAGCCAAGCGGCCAUGAUAUAAAAAGGGUCGCCAAGGCGGUGCACAAGGAGUUGUGCAAGAAUACAGGCGGUGCAAAGAUCUUGCAGAAGAGCCUGCUGACCCGGAAUGUUUCUAUUUACAGAUACAUAACUGAGACAGUGAAAAUGCAUCUGGUGAUGCCAGAAAAGAAGACUGGCGUGAACAGACUCUUUUCACGUCUCUUAAAUACCGUGGCCAAGCCGUUCACCGCCUGCUUUGGACGCAAAGAUUAA
rnacentral:lncRNA from 1 species